GCUGAACCCACAGGAGUGUCACUGAGAACACAGGUGCAGAUGCCAAUGCAUGGUGAGUUUUCAUUUUUGCAUCGCAAUUGUGUUCUCAGGUCACCCCUUUGGGUUGCUU
rnacentral:pre_miRNA from 1 species